AUCUAGCUGACGAGACCCAAAUGGGACGAAACGCGCGUCAGAUUGGAU
rfam:Schistosoma rodhaini strain Burundi genome assembly, scaffold: SROB_scaffold0000674